CUUUAUUUCUUUUAUUGAUUUAAAAGAAAACAAAAUGAAAUUUCCUAAGAAACCUAAUAGGAGCACAAAGAUGGCAGCCUGUUGCCAUGGAAACCUGUUGAGAUGAUCACAUCCCAUGAUCACAUUACAGGGGGGGCACUGAUGGGGUGCUGCAGUUACUAUUGAGGUUACACUGCUGGAAUCAGGGUUAUAACCCAGUCAUUAUAACAGCCGUCUCCAAACUGUGGACCUCCGGAUGUUUCUGGACUACAACUCCCAGCAUGCCCAGACAGCUGGCAGAUUUACCGUGGACCAAUUUAAGUCAGUGGUAUCAAAAUCCGCCACGUUAGUUAAGUGUGAACCUACCCUUACUAUGUAUCAGGGUUGUCCAUAAAAAAAAACUCCACAAUGUAUAUUAUUUGCUUGUGUUGUUACAACAGAGAGUCCUGUGUCUGCAAGACAAGCAAUACAUGUGUAUGGAGAAGGGAGGGGGUGCUCCGCCCACCAGUUCCUAGAGAAGGGCAAAUUACAGAUGGAGCCUGCAGAGCAGAUAUGUGAUCAUGCCCUAUAGAAGUUAUAUAAUGGCCAGAAAUAGGAAUAUAGCUGAUAAACUUCAUCUCACUUUAGUAUUAAUAAGGCCCCAUUCACACUGCAUUUUGGAUUUCCGCCCUAAAAUAAGCAGCUUUUCUUUCUAUAGUAUGAUUGAUUUUUUUUUUUUCAGAAGCACCGGCCGUCACCAGUUUGUAUACCCCCGCGUCUAUUCCAUCUCGCUCCCCUGCAUAUGUACCUGACUGUAUGAAUUUAAAAUAAAGAAGCCCCUGAUCUACGUACCCGGAGUUCUGGUGGGAUGUCAGAAGAUAGGAUCAGGGGGAAUUGUGAGCCGAGGUCGUCAUCAGACACCCAAAUGAGGAGGCGCUGUACAGGACACUGGAUGUCCAGUUGGGUUUUGGAUCUGAUACUCAUCCAUGGAUCCAUAAUGCCAAGGCACUUGGAUUAGAUCGGCCCACCAAGGCACCUACCAGUGGUCCCUGUUCUGAUACAAUAACAAUUCCCAACAAGAAAUAAUAGUCACUGUUGUUAAUGUAAUGUCUGG